ensembl:antisense Gm3970 predicted gene 3970
AAGCCAAUCACUGGGAGCACAUAAUGGGUGUGGGAACGACAGUUCCCCAAUCUCCUUCGGUUGUCACAGAAUUGAUGGAGACAUAGGAUGUGUGAUGGUCACUCCAGGAGUGGGGGUGGCAUGGGGAGAAGCCAAGGCAUCUCUGCCACUCCGUGGCCCCUGCCCACUUGCUGGUCCUAACGUGCGCAAGGAUCUGCCCACCUCACCAGACGAAAUAGAAAACUCUCAGCUCCUCCUGCACCAUGACUACCUGGACACUGCCAUGUCCCGUCCCCCCCUUGUUGAUAAUGGACUGAACCUCUGAACCUGUGAGGCCACCCCAAUUAAAUGUUGUUUUUU